UUCGGUACAUCGGUGACAGUGGUGCAUGGUUGUCGUCAGCUCGUGUCGUGAGAUGUUGGGUUAAGUCCCGCAACGAGCGCAACCCCUAUUGUUAGUUGCCAUCAUUCAGUUGGGCACUCUAGCGAGACUGCCGGUAAUAAACCGGAGGAAGGUGGGGAUGACGUCAAAUCAUCAUGCCCCUUAUGACCUGGGCUACACACGUGCUACAAUGGUUGGUACAACGAGUUGCGAGUCGGUGACGGCGAGCUAAUCUCUUAAAGCCAAUCUCAGUUCGGAUUGUAGGCUGCAACUCGCCUACAUGAAGUCGGAAUCGCUAGUAAUCGCGGAUCAGCACGCCGCGGUGAAUACGUUCCCGGGCCUU
rnacentral:rRNA from 1 species